GAUAAACGCUGGCGGCGCACAUAAGACAUGCAAGUUGAACGGACUUAAUCGAAAUAUUUAUAUUUUGAAGCGGUUAGUGGCGGACUGGUGAGUAACGCGUAAGGAACCUGCCUAUUAGAGGGGAAUAACAGUGAGAAAUCAUUGCUAAUACCGCAUAUGCCAUAGAUAUCACAUGAUAACAGUGGGAAAGGAGCAAUCCGCUAAUAGAUGGCCUUGCGUCUGAUUAGAUAGUUGGUGGGGUAACGGCCUACCAAGUCGACGAUCAGUAGCCGGACUGAGAGGUUGAACGGCCACAUUGGGACUGAGAUACGGCCCAGAAUCCUACGGGAGGCAGCAGCCGGGAAUAUUGCGCAAUGGAGGAAACUCUGACGCAGUGACGCCGCGUAUAGGAAGAAGGUUUUCGGAUUGUAAACUAUUGUCGUUAGGGAAGAGAAAGGACAGUACCUAAGGAGGAAGCUCCGGCUAACUACGUG
rnacentral:rRNA from 1 species